UUUCCCCCAUACGUAGGCAAUAGAAUGUUUCAUCAGAGCCGUCCUAAACUCAAAGGAUACUGCUGGCCGUCUGUUCCUGCUGAACCAUUACACCAUUGGUGUAAUUUUACAUGGAACCAGAGAGCAGAUGACCAGGCAAGGACUGAAAAAUUAUCUCCAUGCCCUGUCAAACCAGAUAUUUGUGCUGGAUCCAUUGCAAGGGACAAACAAGUUGGAGGACUCUAGAAAAGUGGCAUACAAAUUUGGAGAGUAUUUCAAGAUGAGACGAAACAGGCUUGGGAAGGAGGACUGGGUCAACAUCAAGUGGCAGCCUGCCAAGAUAGCUGACACCUGCCAGAAAGAUGACAG